rnacentral:misc_RNA from 1 species
GAUGAAGAACGCAGCGAAAUGCGAUAAGUAGUGUGAAUUGCAGAAUUCAGUGAAUCAUCGAAUCUUUGAACGCACAUUGCGCCCUUUGGUAUUCCUUAGGGCAUGCCUGUUCGAGCGUCAUUUAAACCUUCAAGCUAAGCUUGGUGUUGGGUGACUGUCCGCUUCACGGCGGACUCGCCUCAAAAUUAUUGGCGGCCGGUACAUUGGCUUCGAGCGCAGCAGAAACGCGAACUCGGGCCCGUCGUAUUGGCUCCCAGAAGCUAUCUUCACAAUUUUGACCUCGGAUCAGGUAGGGAUACCCGCUGAACUUAAGCAUAUCAAUAAGUGGAGGA